rnacentral:rRNA from 1 species
GACGAACCGUGCGAACGUUGUUCGGAAUCACUGGGCUUAAAGGGCGCGUAGGCGGGCGCGAAAGUCAGGGGUGAAAUCCCACGGCCCAACCGUGGAAGUGCCUCUGAUACUGCGUGCCUGGAGGGAGGUAGGGGCGUGCGGAACUGUAGGUGGAGCGGUGAAAUGCGUUGAUAUCUACAGGAACUCCGGUGGCGAAAGCGGCGUGCUGGACCUCUUCUGACGCUGAGGCGCGAAAGCUAGGGGAGCAAACGGG